ACCUUAUAAUAUAUUACUAGACCGAAAGCUGCGUGCGCGUUCAGCACAAAACAAAUGAGAUUAGGCUCCGCCUACCGCGAUCAUUUGAAGACAAAAAUAAGCCCUCAUUGACAUUCAUGAGCAUGAAGAUAUUCAUAAUCCGGCCUUUUCAUUGGCUAAGAGCGUCAUUAAUACGCGAUUUCCCCGAUUCUUUGUCAUCGAUACUAGUGGUAUCGUGUUACAGAAUUAAUUAUUCAUUUGACCUCAUUACGUCAUCUAAUUUAUUCAUUCUGAAACUUUUCUUUCCACACACAAAAUGGACCUACGAACACUCCGGUGAGUUGAGUUUGAAGAACAAGAAAAACAGUAGAGGUCUACCCGGUACCUAUGGUUAAACAUGAUGAUCAUAAGUGCAUGCAUCAUUUUGCAGAUUCUCAUCCAGGAUGAUGCAGCUCUACAAUUUCCAUGGAGGUGAUUGAUGAUGAUAAACAAUUGGUGAAGUAGGCCUAAUAGAACAGUGAUAGGACCACAAAGAGAAAUACAACCUACAGCAGUUAUAUGAGACUGGUGUAACAGAUGUUUUCAUUCAAGAAAUCCAACAAAUUGAAGAGUGACUUAGCUUAGGAAGCACUUGAUAAAGAUGGAAA